rnacentral:rRNA from 1 species
AUUGAACGCUGGCGGCAUGCCUUACACAUGCAAGUCGAACGGCAGCACGGGAGCAAUCCUGGUGGCGAGUGGCGAACGGGUGAGUAAAGUAUCGGAACGUGCCAAGUCGUGGGGGAUAACGUAGCGAAAGUUACGCUAAUACCGCAUACGAUCUAUGGAUGAAAGCGGGGGAUCGCAAGACCUCGCGCGAUUGGAGCGGCCGAUAUCUGAUUAGGUAGUUGGUGGGGUAAAGGCUCACCAAGCCGACGAUCUGUAGCUGGUCUGAGAGGACGACCAGCCACACUGGGACUGAGACACGGCCCAGACUCCUACGGGAGGCAGCAGUGGGGAAUUUUGGACAAUGGGCGAAAGCCUGAUCCAGCCAUGCCGCGUGCAGGAUGAAGGCCUUCGGGUUGUAAACUGCUUUUGUACGGAACGAAAAGGUUUGGCCUAAUAAGCUGAGCUCAUGACGGUACCGUAAGAAUAAGCACCGGCUAACUACGUGCCAGCCGCCGCGGUAA